UACAGAGGGUGCAAGCGUUAAUCGGAAUUACUGGGCGUAAAGGGCGCGUAGGUGGUUGCGUAAGUGAGAUGUGAAAUCCCCGGGCUUAACCUGGGAACUGCAUCUUAUACUGCGUAGCUGGAGUGCGGUAGAGGGUAGUGGAAUUUCCGGUGUAGCGGUGAAAUGCGUAGAUAUCGGAAGGAACACCAGUGGCGAAGGCGGCUACCUGGACUGACACUGACACUGAGGCGCGAGAGCGUGGGUAGCAAACAGG
rnacentral:rRNA from 1 species